GAGAGUUUGAUCCUGGCUCAGGAUGAACGCUGGCAGCGUGUCUUAGGCAUGCAAGUCGAACGGGUCCGAUGACCGCAAGGAAGUCGGAUCAGUGGCAAACGGGAGAGCAACACCCUGGUAAUCUGCCCCAAAGUGCGGAAUAACUCGCCGAAAGGCGGGCUAAUACCGCAUGUGCUGGCGCGGCAUAAGCUGCGUCAACAAAGGUUAGCAAUAGCCGCUUUGGGAAGGACCUAGGUCCUAUCAGCUAGUUGGUGAGGUAAUGGCUCACCAAGGCGACGACGGGUAGGGGGCGUGAGAGCGCGACCCCCCUCAGUGGGACUGAUACACUGCCCACACUCCUACGGGAGGCUGCAGUCAAGAAUAUUCCUCAAUGGGCGAAAGCCUGAAGGAGCGACGCUGCGUGAAGGAUGAAGGCCUUCGGGUUGUAAACUUCUUUUUUGCGGGAAGAACCCUGACGGUACCGCAAGAAUAAGCCGCUGCAAACUUCGUGCCAGCAGCCGCGGUAAGACGAAGGCGGCGAGCGUUAUCCGGAUUUACUGGGCGUAAAGAGCUCAACGGCGGUUUUGCGCGUCACGAGUUAAAUCCCGAGGCUCAACUUCGGGACUGCUCUUGAUACGGCAAAACUAGAGGGUGGAAGAGGUAAGCGGAACGCGCGGUGGAGCAGUGAAAUGCGUUGAUAUCGCGCGGAACACCAAUUGCGAAGGCAGCUUACUGGAACACUUCUGACGCUCCAAGAGCGAAAGCGUGGGGAGCAAAAAGGAUUAGAUACCCUUGUAGUCCACGCCCUAAACGAUGGAUGCUCGACAUUGGAAGUCUCGACCCUUUCAGUGUCUUAAGCUUACGCGUUAAGCAUCCCGCCUGGGAAGUACGGUCGCAAGACUAAAACUCAAAGGAAUUGACGGGGACCCGCACAAGCGGUGGAGCAUGUGGUUUAAUUCGACAAUAAGCGAAGAACCUCACCAGGCCUUGAAAUGCUACUGCAAGCGCACGGAAACGUGUGACCUUCGAGGGUGUAGUACAGGUGCUGCAUGGCUGUCGUCAGCUCGUGUCGUGAGAUGUACGGUUAAGUCCGAAAACGAGCGCAACCCUCAUCGCGCGUUAAAUAUUCGCGCGAAACUGCCGUCUUUAAGACGGAGGAAGGCGGGGAUGACGUCAAGUCAGCACGGCCCUUACGGCCUGGGCUACACACGUGCUACAAUGGGAAGGUACAAUGGGUUGCCAAACCGCAAGGUGGAGCUAAUCCCAUCAAAACUUCCCUCAGUUCAGAUUGAGGUCUGCAACUUGACCUCAUGAAGAUGGAAUCGCUAGUAACCGCCAGUCAGCUAUAUGGCGGUGAAUACGUUCUCGGGUCUUGUACACACCGCCCGUCACGCCAAGAGAGGUGGAAAUACCCGAAGUGCCCGUAUGGGUAUCAAGGUAGAGCCACUGAUAGGGGCGAAGUCGUAACAAGGCAUCCCUAGCGGAAGCUGGGGAUGGAUCACCUCCUUUCU
rnacentral:rRNA from 1 species